GACGAACGCUAGCUACAGGCUUAACACAUGCAAGUCGAGGGGAAACGAUAGAGAAAGCUUGCUUUUUCUAGGCGUCGACCGGCGCACGGGUGAGUAACGCGUAUCCAACCUGCCCAUCACUUGGGGAUAACCUUGCGAAAGUAAGACUAAUACCCAAUGACGUCCAUAGAAGACAUCUGAAAGGGAUUAAAGAUUUAUCGGUGAUGGAUGGGGAUGCGUCUGAUUAGCGUGUUGGCGGGGUAACGGCCCACCAAGGCGACGAUCAGUAGGGGUUCUGAGAGGAAGGUCCCCCACAUUGGAACUGAGACACGGUCCAAACUCCUACGGGAGGCAGCAGUGAGGAAUAUUGGUCAAUGGGCGAGAGCCUGAACCAGCCAAGUAGCGUGCAGGAUGACGGCCCUAUGGGUUGUAAACUGCUUUUAUAAGGGAAUAAAGUGAGCCUCGUGAGGCUUUUUGCAUGUACCUUAUGAAUAAGGACCGGCUAAUUCCGUGCCAGCCGCCGCUGUAA
rnacentral:rRNA from 1 species